AUAACGAGGAGACCACCACAGACCUUCAAGAACAACCCUCCUGACACCUUCAUUUUCAUUGCACGUUUAAAAAAAAUAAACAGGCAUGGUCACGUGGAAACCUGGAGCCUAUCCCAGGGAGCAUGGGGCACAAGGCAGGGUACACCCUGGACAGGGUACCAAUCAAUCAAGUGUCGUCCGGUGUCAGCUGUGUCCCAGUAUUCCUGCCAUGUUUUAUGUGUGUGUCCCUUUAUAAUGGUUUUGAUCUCUGCUCUACUUAAUGGUACUUGUAUAGCAACUGUUUCAUGCUUUACUUUCAUGGUACUUGUAUAUCAACUGUUUCGAUCUUUUUGCCAGUACAUCCACAAACAUAAUGACAUCUUUUACAAAACAAAUAUUUUCACAACAGUGUAAUGUUUUCAAUAUCAUUUACAAAAUCAUUAAAUAUUAGUGCUUGUAUUCUGUGCUUUAGUUAGUUUUAUACACACACACACACACACGCACACACACACACACACACACACACGUGUGUUUGUCAUUAAAGCUGCCUAUAAAACACUAGCAAAAUGUAGGGGUAAUGUUAUGACUCAGGAGAAGAAGAAGGAUGAUAUUAAGGUCCAGGGAUGGUUUGUAACAAUGCACUUUAUUUAUAUUUUUACAUAUGGAGUUUUGCAACACUAAUGACGUAACAACGCCUCGUUUGCAGAAAUCACGUGUCUUGCCCAAUUUGAUUCACGCUCCUACCGAAUUGUCUUUGGGGAAUGUCGUUCUUAAAGUGUUGGAUUUUUCACUAACGCAUCUAUUGGCAGACUGGCGAGCCUCAGGAUCAGGCAUUUUUUUGGAGGCUACUUAUACUAUGAUUACUUAUUAUGAUUAGACUAUUGCCUCACCUGUUUCACAUCACCUUCUUAUUUCAACUUGUCACAUCACUAUUAGUCUUAAAUUGCCCCUGUCCCAACUUUUUUGUAACAUGUUGUGUGCAUCAAUUUUAAAAUAAAUGUUUACCUUCAAAAAACUAUGCAGUUGAUUAGGUAAGACAUCAGAUACCUUGUCUUUAUACGUUUUUUUUUUUUUUUUUAUACAAGUCAAAGUACAUUUACAAAUCACUCCUCUUUGUUUUUAUUAGCAUUUUCCAUACUGCCCCAACUUUUUCGGAAUUGGGAUUGUAAUUAACAAACAGGCUAAACAGAUUACACUGUCACCCUUGGAAAUUAGUUUCCCCAGUAUAUUCCAACUCAUGUACGAUUA